CACGUAGGGGGCAAGCGUUGUCCGGAUUUAUUGGGCGUAAAGAGCUCGUAGGCGGUUCGGUAAGUUGGGUGUGAAACCUCCAGGCUCAACCUGGAGACGCCACCCGAUACUGCUGUGACUAGAGUCCGGUAGGGGAGCGUGGAAUUCCUGGUGUAGCGGUGAAAUGCGCAGAUGUCAGGAAGAACACCCGUGGCUAAGGCGGCUCUCUAGUACGGUACUGACGCUGAGACGCGAAAGCGUGGGGAGCGAACAGG
rnacentral:rRNA from 1 species